GGUUCUCAUGAUGCCCAGUGGUCU
rnacentral:misc_RNA from 1 species